GUCUUUUGUUGUUGUUCUCUGGAGAGAGAAGACACAGAGCAGCAAUGCUAUAAGCAGCUUUAAACCAGCAUUUCUGUGGCACAUAGGAGCAAUGCUUACUUGAGAGAAGCCACCUGCCGCCUUGAUGCCAGCAAUCUCCAGAGUCGUGAACAAAACCCAGAUCUCCAUUACUCUGUCCAGUUACUGAACUGCUCAUGAGGGCUAAGUGGGGCAAGAAGAGGAUUCUGCCACAGAUGUUUCUCUGCUUCCAUUCAUUCCUUUCAGGAAGGGGGCUGUCAUUCUUUUACACUCAGGGGAAUUCACUCUCCAUGCAUAUGCAACCUGAAUAUCCUGCACACUGCCCCACCAAUGGGACCCCAAGCCAGGCCUGCCAGUGACCACCCAUAGCCAUUGAAUUCCAGGGGAAUGAAGUGUUGUAUCUCAAGGAUCCAGAGAGGGGAGAGGUCUGAGCCAGAGUCUUCUGUGAGGACACAGCAUUCCAUGGCCCAGGAAGUUCUCUCUCUAUCUCGUGCUCCCCUCCUAAGCCAGUAGGAAACGUACUGCUCCCCUCCCAUCCAUGCUGACUCCAUAGACAGGUCGCAGACUCCCCAGGGGCUGAAAUUUGUUCAUUCACAUUAUUUAGUGAACUCUUAUUUUUACCGAGUUAUUUCUUUAGCUUUAAACACCCCAGAAGGAAGACUCUAAGUGCCCUUGAUGCCAGUUAACACUGUAAUCUAUAGCGAUAGACCCAUCACACAACAAAAGAGCUGUAAAUCCCUCCAGCAAACAGCCACCAUCAGCAAAAAUUAAUUAAAAAGCAGAACUUCCUGGUCCCUCAAGUCUCCAAUAGAAAGCAUCACCCCUCCCCGCAUGGCCACAGCCUCCUCCCUCUGCAACCCCCAAAUGCCUGUUCUCACAAAUACCAUCGAAGAGAACCACUGUAGUUUUGCAAAUGAUUCAUAAUGAGACCAAAGAGAUAAUACUGAGAUUUGCAAAGCUGCUGCCAAGGGGAAUCAGGCACCCAAAUGCCAUCAAGAUUAAUGGGAUUAUAACUGGGCAUCCAAAUCCCCUAAGCGGCUUUGAAAAUAGCAGCAUCGUUUGUGACACCUCAUUUGGCCGGCCAUGUUCCUGGCCCCCGCCCAAGCAUCUCAGCGCACAGCCUCUGUAAGUGUCUGUGGCAGAGCUGUGCCCUUGAAUAAUAAUCAGGACGUUUUUACACUUGCCCCAUCAGAUGCAGUUGGAGGCUGGGAUUUCUGAGGUGAGUCGGAUGCCCAAAUCCCACUGAGAGAUGAUGGGAGCUAGGUGUACGGCUUCCUUUGGGCCCUUUAGAAACCCUGGCCUAGUUGUGUGGUUAGCUCUGAGACUCAGCUUUGUCAAUGUUACUUGAACUCCCAACAGUAGCAUCAGCGUCUCCACUCUCUCCUUCAGGCCUGUCCUCGGGUGGCCUCUGGAUGUACCCCUGGUGGCGAGGGUGGCCUCAUCCUCUGCCAGUUCUCCCUCCUGGAUGAGAGGGGUCUUGGACUCCCACUUCUGGGGCCAAAUGUUACAGGGUGACCCUGACAUGGGUGCCCUCCUGCAGCUGAGCUUGGCAGAACAGGCGUGACCUGCCUCAGUUUCCCCCUCCAGCCACCCAUCCAAAGACCUAUUGUCAACAGCAAAUUCAACCCUUUUAUUCAUAUAAAAAGCCACAGUCCACAGAUCCCUCAUGGUAAAAAGUUCUCCCAUACUCCCAAAGGGGAACAAGGUGACAAGGCAGCAGCUCUUCAAUCCCAUUCCCAGGUCACCCACCCAAAAGUAAUUAAGCAUGUGGUCCCAGUUCCUUUAGCCCCACUCCCCUGGCCAUCUGCCUGAGAGCUCCCAGGCCUGCUUCUCUCCCAGGAACCUUCUCCUAUAGCCCCACAUCAGGUCUUCUGCAAGAGGCUCCCCCCAGUGUUUCACUGCCCAGGCCUCCUCAUCUGAGUCUCCCCCCUGCUCCUGGGGACCUCUCUUCCGAGUCAACACCUUGCUUCUGGGCCCAUCUUAUGCUGACCACACUGGUUCUUCUUUGCAUUCCGAGGGGCCUCUGCACAAGCCUCCCUGCCACUCAGCAGGCUCCCCAGCUCUAACCAGUCCUCCCAACAGCUUUCCCCCAAACUCACCCCCAGCAGCUCACCUUCAAUCUUCCAACAGCUCCUUUCCUUGGCAACCCCCCAGGCUCCUUCUGCCUGUUCCCAGGCACCUCUCCCUGGCCCCCUCCUGUCUUCUAGGGCCCAGCUGGGAGACAGCUGACCAGGCACAGCUGUACUUGCUUCCUUCCUCUUAAAGGGGCCAGUCACAUUGUGUCAAGGCCCUUCUCUUCCUUCAAGCCUCUCUCCUCGAACCUCUCCUUACCAGCUUACCUCCAGCUCCCAGGUCAGACCCCUCCUUCAUCUCCAAGUUCUCUGACUGCCUCUCCUUGAUUGGCCUCUCCUCCUUCUCAUCAUCACUGGGGGCUUCAUUGUCUUUGCUGAUGUGCACCUUACCCCUUUCCCUCUGCCCUUUCCUCCCUGGGGCCCACACCCCGGGUCCAUAGAAGUCAAUGGGAGUCCACCUGAUUGGGAUUUAGCGCAUAUUCUUAUUCAGUCUGCCAUGCCCAUCCUGGCCAUUCCCUCAGGGAGCUCACUAUCAGCCAUUUCCACUCUAUCUUCAGCCUGCCUGUGAUCUCACCUGCACUGAUGGCUCCCUGGUGAUGUUAAAACAAAUGAAAUGUUUGAAAUGACCCUAUCGGGUGAAAAUGACCCUAUGGGGUUUCUUGCCCUGCUGUGAGGCUGUAUUUCAUCGCACUGGUUAGUCAGUGCACCCAGGGGCUUUGAGUGUAGGUCAGAUCAAAUCAACAGUGUGGCCCAGAGAAGGGACAUACCAAACAACACAGCUUAAAUAAUAGCUCAUUUCUGCUGGGCAAGUACAUUGCAGACUCUUCCCGGGUGCGAGACCCCCUCAUUCCUUCCCUAUGUAAUCUGUGCCUGUCCUAGGAAGGGAGUUUUAUCUCACACACCUGGUGGAUCGUGGGGAAGACCCAGAAUUAAAUCAAGCCGCCCCUUGCAAAGAAAUGUGCUGUAAUAAUGACUCCUAAAGACAUCUAACAAAGCCCUUUGCUAAAGAAGAGUUAAGGAUGAAAGUGUUUUCAGUGGAGUCCAGCUAACAUCCAAGCCACAAGAUGACCAUCUGGAAAUGAACAAGGAAGGGAUCUACUGGUUCACAACUGCCAUACUCUACUUCCUCAUUCAUCGUCACCCCACCUGAUUUACACUGCCCACCCAACCCUGACUGUGCCCCUUAGCUCCCACAGAAACCUUUCCCACUCAGCUCCUGAGCAAAACCCAGCUCAGCCAGACUCCAGAAUGGGGUGUCUGGGGUUUGGAAACAAGAUGAGCCAAGAAAAGGGCAAGGGCCAUUUUCAGAACACACGCAUGGGCAAGAUUCUCCACUGCCUUCCUCCUGGGGCCAUGCCUGUGCAAAGUGAUGAAACAUGCUACCAGUGCUUAUUGAUGCUUCAGUAGUGGCUAGAAGCCCCAGUUGAGGUCAAGACCCCAUUGUGCUAGUCCUGCACAGAUACUGUGAGAGACGCUGCUGGCCGCGGGGAGCUUACAAUCUGCAUACAGAUGGCGGGGAAGUGAUUGCCACAGUCACCCAGCAGGUCAGUGGCAGAGUUAGAUCCCAGGCAUCCUGACUCUCACUCCAGCACGCCAUGUGCUACACCAUGCUGACUUGAGAGUGUUUUACAUCUGCUUUACACAGGGGAAAGUGACUCUACCCACUGAAAGGCAGGAGGGAAAAAAAUCAGCCCCCAAAUCUUUACAAUACCUUUUCUGAUUUUUACCAGCUCAGCAGAAAAGCUCUCCCGUGGGUUGAUGUGUAGUGUGUGAAAUUUCAGAGAGAUCCUUCUUUCUUUUGUA